rnacentral:rRNA from 1 species
GACGAACGCUGGCGGCGUGCUUAACACAUGCAAGUCGAACGGAAAGGCCCUGCUUUUGUGGGGUGCUCGAGUGGCGAACGGGUGAGUAACACGUGAGUAACCUGCCCUUGACUUUGGGAUAACUUCAGGAAACUGGGGCUAAUACCGGAUAGGAGCUCCUGCUGCAUGGUGGGGGUUGGAAAGUUUCGGCGGUUGGGGAUGGACUCGCGGCUUAUCAGCUUGUUGGUGGGGUAGUGGCUUACCAAUGCUUUGACGGGUAGCCGGCCUGAGAGGGUGACCGGCCACAUUGGGACUGAGAUACGGCCCAGACUCCUACGGGAGGCAGCAGUGGGGAAUAUUGCACAAUGGGCGGAAGCCUGAUGCAGCAACGCCGCGUGCGGGAUGACAGCCUUCGGGUUGUAAACCGCUUUCGCCUGUGACGAAGCGUGAGUGACGGUAAUGGGUAAAGAAGCACCGGCUAACUACGUG